ACUUUAUGUUGAGGGCAUUUAUGCAAGAGGUCCAUAAAGCGUUCCCAAGUCUCAAAAAAUUGUUCCCCAUCUAUUUGUGAGAAACUAGUGAUUACCAUCCUUAGCU